GGGGGGGGGGGGGGGGGGGGGGGGGGGGGGGGGGCGGGGGGGGGGGGGGGGGGGGCGGGGGGCGCGGGUGGGGAGGGGGGGGGGAACGCGGGGGUGGGCUGCCCUGCACGUCGGGAUGGGGCGGGGUAACUGGGUGUAGUACCGGAGAGGAGCCGUUUUUCGUGGUGUGGUUGGAAAGUUUUUUCGGUGUAGGAUGAGCUCGCGGCCUGUCAGAUUGUUGGUGGGGUAAUGGCCUACCAAGGCGGCGACGGGUAGCCGGCCUGGGAGGGUGGACGGCCACAUUGGGACUGGGAUACGGCCCAGACUCCUACGGGAGGCAGCAGUGGGGAAUAUUGCACAAUGGGCGCAAGCCUGAUGCAGCGACGCCGCGUGGGGGAUGACGGCCUUCGGGUUGUAAACUCCUUUCGCUAGGGACGAAGCUUUUUGUGACGGUACCUAGAGAAGAAGCACCGGCUAACUACGUG
rnacentral:rRNA from 1 species